UGUCCCUGGGCUGGAAUUCCACUUGGCCCAAUGCUCAGGAAAACGAAGCAGCUCAAUAAAAAACGUUUGAUAUUAGUUUUUACAGACAUUUACAUUCUGAUGUGGGGGGCUGAGUACGGAAGCCUGCUAAUCAGCCCCCAGCCUUGGGUUUGGAUACUUGGUUUAU
ensembl:misc_RNA